UACGUAGGGACCAAGCGUUGUCCGGAUUUAUUGGGCGUAAAGGGCGCGUAGGCGGCGCAACAAGUCACUUGUGAAAUCUCCGGGCUUAACCCGGAGCGGCCAAGUGAUACUGUCGUGCUAGAGUGCGGAAGGGGCAACUGGAAUUCUCGGUGUAGCGGUGAAAUGCGUAGAUAUCGAGAGGAACACCUGCGGCGAAGGCGGGUUGCUGGGCCGACACUGACGCUGAGGCGCGAAAGCCAGGGGAGCGAACGGG
rnacentral:rRNA from 1 species